rnacentral:rRNA from 1 species
GACGAACGCUGGCGGCGUGCUUAACACAUGCAAGUCGAACGGAAAGGCCCUGCUUUUGUGGGGUGCUCGAGUGGCGAACGGGUGAGUAACACGUGAGUAACCUGCCCUUGACUUUGGGAUAACUUCAGGGAACUGGGGCUAAUACCGGAUAGGAGCUCCUGCUGCAUGGUGGGGGUUGGAAAGUUUCGGCGGUUGGGGAUGGACUCGCGGCUUAUCAGCUUGUUGGUGGGGUAGUGGCUUACCAAGGCUUUGACGGGUAGCCGGCCUGAGAGGGUGACCGGCCACUGUGAGACAGAGUCCCGCCCACGACGGAGGGGGGACGGGGAGGGGGGGACACGUGAGCAUGGGGGGGGACACGAGGACAACACGCCGGCGUGCGGGCUGACCGCUGUGUGUUUGACACCGGCUUCCGCCGGGAACGAAGGUUGAGUGAGGGAAAUGGACAAAGAAGAACCGACAACCCACGUGCCAGCAGCGGCGAAAAAAAGCGAAGACCACCCGUUUGAUC